AGUGAACGCUGGCGGUAGGCCUAACACAUGCAAGUCGAACGGCAGCACAGUAAGAGCUUGCUCUUACGGGUGGCGAGUGGCGGACGGGUGAGGAAUACAUCGGAAUCUGCUUUUUCGUGGGGGAUAACGUAGGGAAACUUACGCUAAUACCGCAUACGACCUACGGGUGAAAGCAGGGGAUCUUCGGACCUUGCGCGAUUGAAUGAGCCGAUGUCGGAUUAGCUAGUUGGCGGGGUAAAGGCCCACCAAGGCGACGAUCCGUAGCUGGUCUGAGAGGAUGAUCAGCCACACUGGAACUGAGACACGGUCCAGACUCCUACGGGAGGCAGCAGUGGGGAAUAUUGGACAAUGGGCGCAAGCCUGAUCCAGCCAUACCGCGUGGGUGAAGAAGGCCUUCGGGUUGAAAAGCCCUUUUGUUGGGAAAGAAAAGCAGCAGGUUAAUACCCCGCUGUUCUGACGGUACCCAAAGAAUAAGCACCGGCUAACUUCGUG
rnacentral:rRNA from 1 species